CAAUAGCGUAUAUUUAAGUUGUUGCAGUUAAAAAGCUCGUAGUUGGAUUUCGGAUGGGAUUUGCCGGUCCGUCGUUACGAUGUGCACUGGCCAGUCCUAUCUUGUUGUCGGGGACUAGCUCCUUGGAUUCACUUCCUGGGACUAGGAGCUGACGAGGUUACUUUGAAUAAAUUAGAGUGUUCAAAGCAAGCCUACGCUCUGAAUACAUUAGCAUGGAAUAACACGAUAGGACUCUGGCUUAUCUUGUUGGUCUGUGAGACCAGAGUAAUGAUUAAGAGGGACAGUCGGGGACAUUCGUAUUUCAUUGUCAGAGGUGAAAUUCUUGGAUUUAUGAAAGACGAACUUCUGCGAAAGCAUUUGUCAAGGAUGUUUUCAUUAA
rnacentral:rRNA from 1 species